rnacentral:rRNA from 1 species
GACGAACGCUGGCGGCGUGCCUAAUACAUGCAAGUAGAACGCUGAAGGAGGAGCUUGCUUCUCUGGAUGAGUUGCGAACGGGUGAGUAACGCGUAGGUAACCUGCCUGGUAGUGGGGGAUAACUAUUGGAAACGAUACCUAAUACCGCAUAAUAGCAGUUGUUGCAUGAUAACUGUUUGAAAGGUGCAAUUGCACCGCUACCAGAUGGACCUGCGUUGUAUUAGCUAGUUGGUGGGGUAACGGCUCACCAAGGCGACGAUACAUAGCCGACCUGAGAGGGUGAUCGGCCACACUGGGACUGAGACACGGCCCAGACUCCUACGGGAGGCAGCAGUAGGGAAUCUUCGGCAAUGGACGGAAGUCUGACCGAGCAACGCCGCGUGAGUGAAGAAGGUUUUCGGAUCGUAAAGCUCUGUUGUAAGAGAAGAACGAGUGUGAGAGUGGAAAGUUCACACUGUGACGGUAUCUUACCAGAAAGGGACGGCUAACUACGUG